AGGGAGGGGGCAGGCGGAGACGCUGCGAUUUUGGAGGCCGCCGUCCAGCCUGCCCCAGGGCUACUGCGCUCGCGGGUUUCCGGCCGCUCCUCCCGCUCCUCGCCGUGUCUGGUCGCCCCUUCGCCUGGGCAAAGGUCUUCUCCUUUCUUAAGGUUCUGGAGGAUCUACCUACUCUGAAAUCACGACCCCACAAGAGCAAUGGUCUCAGGGGAGAGAGUCUGUCAACCUGGAGGAAUGAGUGCACCCAGAUACCAGGUGAAUCCUCACUCUUGCUGAGCCAAAGAGACUGAGGCACAAAUAACUUCCAUUCCCCUCUGGGUGCUGAGGACUGACUGGCCUGAGAAAUGUCCCCAUGAGGACAUUCAUCAUUCAACCUUGAAAGACAAACAAAUUUUGGCAUUUCAGUGUUUCCAAUACACUUCUUUCUACAGAAGGGGUAAAAGGGAACUGUGAGAGACGUAGACAGUCUAUCCUCGAGCAACUUUCCAGGCAGUAGAGGCUGGAUUACAGAAGAAUUCCUUAGAACACCUGGGCAAAUUCUGAAUUUACUGAUGCUCAGCAAAAAUCCCUGCCCCAAAUGGUCUGACUUGCCCACAAGGGCCCCAAUUCUGGGGCCUCAAGGAGUGCCACACAGAUCAGAGGGGAAGCUAACCCAGGCCUCUUUGACACAGGAACCACCUUCCUCAGAUUGCCUUCAUUCCAGAUCAAAAGUUUCAUCUUGAGGAUGGGAACAUGCUGGCAUGUGGGGCAGGGCUAGAUCCUGCGGGCUCAGCUCCUAGGAUGGAAACCCGGAGUCGCUUCGGCCCUGGCAACGUCCCUGGACCGAACCCUAACCCUAGCUAAGGCUCUCUCCCCAUGGGGACCCAAUUCCAACGUCUGACAGCAGAAGGCUCCAGGCCCCGAGCUGUCAGCACAGCUGACACAAGCCUUGCCCUUGGGAACCCGAUUUCAUCUCCAUGGAAGGUUCUCUUGACAUGGAGCAGGAGGUCUGCCCACCAGCCAAUCAUACCAGCAAGGACAGCGGCUUUGCCUGUUUUGUUUUGUUUUCACAGAAGAGUACAUUUCACAGAACAGUAGCACCAGUCUUUGUGAACUGUUUCUCCACAUUUUGAAAACCACCGCCAUCUUUUUGCCUGACCCGCAUUUGUUGAAAACUUUAAUGGGUGGCCAGCAUGGACGUAAAUUACCCUGUCUCUAAUUCCAUUUUCAUCAUCAAAUCCCACAAUGACUCAUUAUGGGUUGAAACGUUUAUUCAGAACUGCUGAAAAAGUACAGCUAGUUGGACAGCUAGAGAGCCUUUUUCAUUUCAAUGGGAAAUAAACACUGAAUUCUGAUGGUAACAGGCUAUGUCCUGCCUUGAAAACAGGCAUCACACACGUGUGAUUUCGGGAAAACCUGAAGGCCUUAUUCAGGUUAAAGUCAGCCAGAAAUGUAACAGCGCAGAGGUGUGUGCAAUUUUAGAUUGAGUGAGGGUUCUCAUUAUAAGGUAAAAACAGAAAUACCUAGAAAACAUUAUUGUGUUGUUCUGAGGUAAAGCGAAGAACAAGACUGUGUGACUUCAGUUUCUCUGGAAUCCUUUUGAGAGCUAGAUGUUUGUGAAGUCCUAAGUAGAAAAAUGAUGAAUGAAGAUAAAUGAUUUGUGAAAUUGUACACCAUGUUGAAAAAUAAACAUUUUGCAAAAGAAAAGAAAAGAAAUGAAAAAAAAAAAAAAACAAGAAAAACUUCUGGGAAAGAAAGAAGUUGGAGUUGGAGUCCACAGAAGGAAAAUAGCUUCACCUCUCUUCCCUAUGCCCUCAACCACAACAGUGAAAGUAAACGAACUGUGCUGCAGAUAUUAGAAUUAUUUUAGAGCCUUCACAUUGUAUUUUCAUCCCUCAAAAAUGAUCAUUUUCCUCUUUCCCUUUUAGAAUAAGUAAGAGUGGGAUGCCUGAGUGGCUCAGUUGAUUGAGCGUCUGACUUCGACUGAAGUCAUGAUCUCCCAGCUUGUGGUUUCCAGC